GGGAGCGUUCUUGGAUUCGACGGGGAUAUCAAGGCUCUAGGUGCAUACCGAGAAUGAAAGAAUCUCGUUAAACCCUUUCAAAAAAAUAGUUGCAAACGACGACAACUAUGCUUUGGCUGCUUAAUUAAGCCAACGGUCAGCUGGAAUUGUUCCUGGUUUUAGUUCGACCGUCGUUUACAGGAAAUCGCUGGCUGUCGCGUCUGCCGAUAGUUUAGUUAAAUCCAGCAGAAUCGCCAAGAAGAUGCCCGUUCGUCGGCUGCUUUGCGGUUAAACACAGUAGGCAGAACUAAGUAUGUAGGACCGAAAGUUGCGGAUUCGCGGACGGGGGUUCAAAUCCCCCCGCUUCCACCA
rnacentral:tmRNA from 1 species